UGGAUCAAUGAUGACUCUCCUAGGGUGUCUGAAUUAAGGAUUCUGAUUAAACUCUAUAGCUUUAAGGUCAUU
ensembl:snoRNA